AUUGAACGCUGGCGGCAGGCCUAACACAUGCAAGUCGAGCGGUUGAGGUAGCUUGCUACCGAUGCAGCGGCGAACGGGUGAGUAAUACAUGGGAAUCUGCCUGGUAGUGGGGGACAACGUUUCGAAAGGAACGCUAAUACCGCAUACGCCCUACGGGGGAAAGGGGGGGAUCUUCGGACCUCUCGCUAUCAGAUGAGCCCAUGUCAGAUUAGCUUGUUGGUGAGGUAAAGGCUCACCAAGGCGACGAUCUGUAACUGGUCUGAGAGGAUGAUCAGUCACACUGGAACUGAGACACGGUCCAGACUCCUACGGGAGGCAGCAGUGGGGAAUAUUGGACAAUGGGGGCAACCCUGAUCCAGCCAUGCCGCGUGUGUGAAGAAGGCCUUAGGGUUGUAAAGCACUUUCAGUGGGGAGAAAGGUGAUUCACCUAAUACGUGAGUCAAUUGAUGCUACCCACAGAAGAAGCACCGGCUAACUCCGUGCCAGCCGCCGCGGUAA
rnacentral:rRNA from 1 species